GGCGCCGUGGGCGGCGGCGGGGACAGCUGUGAAGUGUGAAGUUCCUUGUCUGCUGGCAGCCGGAGGCGACGAGUCUGGAUGUCAUGGAAGUACGUUAAAAUACAUAUCAAAAUCACCAUGCAGACACCAGAGUCCUGAGACUGUCAGAGAAUUUCUCACAGCAAUGAAAAGCCAUAAGUUGACCAAAUGGAGUCUCACUCUGCUGCCCAGGCUGGAGUGCAAUGGCGCCAUUUCAGCUCACUGCAGUCUCCCCAUCCCGGGUUCAAGUGAUUCUCCUGCCUCAGCCUCCUGAGUAGCUAGGAUUACAGAUCCCCUGCAGCUUUUAGUCCUUGCAAUCCCUCUUCUCCCUCUUCACGUGGAGACCUCUCAGAUGGGAACUGAGAAAACUACCCGGAAUGAACUCAUCUCCCUUCCAGUCAUUUCUGACUGACUGCUGUUUUCCCCUCACCGUGGUCAUGAUGGAACUGUCUCGGUCUUGCUGGAGGUUUGGGCAGCAGUUUCUGAGAGU
rnacentral:lncRNA from 1 species